rnacentral:tRNA from 1 species
GUUCUUGUAGUUCAAUGGAUAGAACUUCGGUUUCCUAAACCGACAAUCCGGGUUCGAUUCCCGGCGAGAAUA